rnacentral:rRNA from 1 species
AACGAACGCUGGCGGCAGGCCUAACACAUGCAAGUCGAGCGCACCGUACGGGGAGAGUCAGACGGGUGAGUAUAGCGCGGGGAAACACCCUUUUCUUCGGGGUAGCACCGGGGGACUGGAAUUCUAACAGCAAGUGCCCUCUGGGGGAAAGAUUUAUCGGUUAAGUAUCGGCCCGCGCUGGAUUAGCUCGUGGGUGGGGUAAAGGCCUACCAAGGCGACGAUCCGUAGCUGGUCUGAGAGGAUGAUCAGCCACAUUGGGACUGAGACACGGCCCAAACUCCUACGGGAGGCAGCAGUGGGGAAUAUUGCGCAAUGGGCGAAAGCCUGAUGCAGCCAUGCCGCGUGAAUGAUGAAGGUCUUAGGAUUGUAAAGUUCUUUCACCGGAGAAGAUAAUGACGGUACCCGGAGAAGAAGCCCCGGCUAACUUCGUG